CCAGCUAAGCCUAACGGGU
rnacentral:siRNA from 1 species